rnacentral:lncRNA from 1 species
UGUGAUGCAAACGUUCCCUUCUCCACUUGUUUUGGGUAGCCAACAUGAUUUUUAUCAAUUGACACAAAGUAGCUUUCGCUAAAAUCGACCAACAAACAAACAUUUCCUACCCAGAACUACGUAAGCCUUGAGUUCUCUAUUGCACUGGGAGAUACAUAGAGGCAGGAUUUGUAAAUCUUGUCAAACCCAUUAAUAAAAAAAAUUAGGUUUAAUUCCUUUCUUUGCACAUUAAUAAAAAAAAUUAAAAAAAUUUUCUCUUUUUUUUUGAUCCU